rnacentral:tRNA from 1 species
AGUGUAGCUCAGUUUGGUAGAGUGCUUGCUUUGGGAGCAAGAUGUCGCAGGUUCGAAUCCUGUCACU